AGCAGCCGCGGUAAUUCCAGCUCCAAUAGCGUAUAUUAAAGUUGUUGCAGUUAAAAAGCUCGUAGUUGAAUUUCGGGGUCAGUAGGUUGGUCAUGCCACUGGUAUGUACUGGUCUCACUGAUUCCUCCUUCCUGAUGAGCCGUAAUGCCAUUAAUUUGGUGUUGUGAGGAAUCUGGACUGUUACUUUGAAAAAAUUAGAGUGUUUAAAGCAGGCAUUUUGCUUGAAUACAUUAGCAUGGAAUAAUAAAAUAGGACGGCAUGAUUCUAUUUUGUUGGUUUCUAGGAUCACCGUAAUGAUUAAUAGGGAUAGUUGGGGGCAUUAGUAUUCAAUUGUCAGAGGUGAAAUUCUUGGAUUUAUUGAAGACUAACUACUGCGAAAGCAUUUGCCAAGGAUGUUUUCAUUAAUCAAGAACGAAAGUUAGGGGAUCGAAGACGAUCAGAUACCGUCGUAGUCUUAACCAUAAACUAUGCCGACUAGGAAUCAGACGAUGUAAUUUUUUAAUGACUCG
rnacentral:rRNA from 1 species